GACGAACACUGGCGGCGCGCCUAACACAUGCAAGUCGAACGAGCGAGAGCGAGCUUGCUUUCUUGAGCGAGUGGCGAACGGGUGAGUAACGCGUGAGGAACCUGCCUCAAAGAGGGGGACAACAGUUGGAAACUACUGCUAAUACCGCAUAAGCCCACGUUCCCGCUUGUCACGGAGGGAAAAUGAGCCCUCCGCUUUGAGAUGGCCGCGCUUCCGAUUUGCUAGUUGGUGAGGUAACGGCCCACCAAGGCGACGAUCGGUAGCCGGACUGAGAGGUUGAACGGCCACAUUGGGAAUGAGACACGGCCCAGAAUCCGACGGGAGGGAGCAGUGGGGAAUAUUGCACAAUGGGGGAAACUCUGAUGAAGCGGCGCCGGGUGGAGGAAGAAGGUCUUCGGAUUGUAAACUCCUGUUGGUGGGGAAGAUAAUGACGGUACCCAACAAGGAAGUGACGGCUAACUACGUG
rnacentral:rRNA from 1 species